GAAGGGUUAGGGUUCCCAACCCAUCAAGAAGCCACACCCCUUAUCAGGUUGAUCAGCCAUCAGAAGGGUUAGGGUUCCCAACCCAUCAAGAAGCCACACCCCUUAUCAGGUUGAUCAGCCAUCAGAAGGAUUAGGGUUCCCAACCCAUCAAGAAGCUCAUGAAGUAGUUCCUGAUUUUCUACUGAAGUUCAUUCAACUCUGGAAUCCACAUUAAUGAUAACGUGAUGAUGUGGUGACCUGGUGACGUGGUGAUGUGGUGACGUGGUGAUGUGGUGACGUGAUGAAGUGGUGUCAGCACCUAAUAUUACCAAGCUUGGCAGAACCUAGAUCUUAAUGUUCUGAAGAAACCCUGUGGGGUUAACCCUUACCUGUCUAACCCUGACCUGAAAGAGUAAAUCUAAGGGUUAAACCUACGCCUCUCCCCGGAUGGAUGGCAGCACCCACAGCUAACCCCCACCCUCAGAGUUAUCACAUCAUGCCGUACUCCUUCCUUCACAGGAUAAACAUUUUAUAUUAACCUCAAGCUUCAGAGAAACCCUUUGAAUAUGCCCUCACCUCAUCGUCAUCCGCACAUUUCUGUGUUCACCCCAACACAGAAAUGUGUUUGAAAGAUUUUUUUU
ensembl:lncRNA